AUAGCAUCUAACAAUAGGAACUGCUACCUUCCGGCACUAAAAAAAAAAUAUUAAAAAUUGAGUUGUCCCUUAACAUUGUGAGUCUUGAGGAAUUUGACUUCUUUUCACCAUUGCCUUUGAUUUGUGAACCUCUCUGGAGUCUUGUCAGGUCACAUUCAAUCUUUUUGCUGCAAGAAUAAGACCUAGAGCGGUGUAUGAUAGGCAGGAUAGAGAGAAGGGUUUUAAAAUGAAAUGUAUUGAUUACACAAUAAUUUGCUUCCAAACCAUGGGGUUUUGAGAUUAAAGGAAACUUCUAAGAUUCUUGAUAGAUGAUCUAACUUGGCCACAGUGCAAAAUCUAAAGCACUGAAUCAUAAUCCUUUCAAGGCUGCACAAAAUCAGUUUGAUCAUGGCUUAAUUUUUGCAUGGAAGGGAGGGUCCUGACUGAUUCUCGUAAUAUUAGUUAUUUUUCACUGCAGUCACUGGGAAUAAACCUACUUCAGAACUGCCUCUAUGCAAAUCCUAGCAUUGUACUGCUAGGAUUCUCAGUAAUGUUUUUCAGGAGGGCUUCAUAAGCCUUUGCCACUGUGAAAUCAUGUAUUUUCCUUUAUUGUGUGACAAAAAUAAUUUGUAAAAGAGAAAUUGCAAGUGCUAGAGAGAAAUACAUGCAGCAAAAUCCUGAAGUAAUCAGAUACAGGAGAAAACAAGGGGUGCAGAUACUGGAGAUUUGGCAAUUUCGGGUGUUCGAUUUGUAAAUUUGAAAUAAUCUCUAAAUUUGUAACUUAUAUUGAAAUAAUUCUUUCUCUCUGUUUUGCUGCCUCAAUGAAAAUAGAGAUGCUGGAUUUGUAGAAAACUCAAGCAACAAAGACCUUCCAGCUCUCCUGAAAUGAUCUGUCUUCUAAUUCCUUGCAUCGCUUCAAGGAGUUCUAUUCAGUUGAUGAAACUUAAUUUGAAAAACGUUUUGUAAAACCAGCAAGAAAAUUCAUUUUAAGAGAACUAUGAUGCUUUAGAAUAAGUGUGAAAGUUAGUAUUUAUUAAGGAAUGUUUGAAUUUGUAUUUUUUUUUGCAUAAUGAGCUUUUAUUUAAACAGUAGAUCCUGUAUAUUUAUUGUUUAAGUUCUUAUUGUAAUAGCCUUGUUUUGUUGCAUUAGUAAAGGGUAUGUGUGUUUAUGUACUAUAAAUAGUAUCUCCAAUCAGAAGUAUCAUUUUCAUCCUAGCUGUGGCCUUGACCAGUAGUUGCAUCACCUGCAGCCGGAACUCUAAGAUCAAUGGCAAAGACGUUAGUGUGAAUUCUCAGGGUCUAAUAGACUUUAUUAAAUGUCUGUCUUAGCUUUCCUGCUUGUAAUUGAGAAAAUAUUUAAACUCGUGCUCCCCUUUUGAAAUCUAGUAUUUUAACCAGAGGAACCUAAUUUAAGAGUGUGAAAUUAAAGCAUGUAGUUUGCUGUUUGAAUAUAUGGUUCCUUUGCUGUGUAUGUAACUUCUUGAGGAAAAACCUGCUCCUGAAAAAGCUAUUGAAUAUUUGUGUGAUCUGGAUUAUGAUGAUGGCCGGGGUAAAAGUCAUGUUGCUCUUCACGUGGUAAUGAUUUAUGGUUUUAAGGCAGUAAUUCUGUUUAGUAGUUCAUUAGGUGCUGGCUGUACUCAGUCAACUUGGACUUGAUAUAUCCUUUUUUCGUAAAGGACCUCAUGUUACCAAAGCAAGGAUAAGGGUGUCCCAGCUUCUUCAGUGCAGCCUCUGCCCUCCCCAGCUGGACUAGCAUAUGUAGGAGAAUAAAAUUGCUCAAGGUUGAGUAGGUUCUGAUAAGACUCAUUUAUCUGUGCUACAACCAAUUGUGAGAACUCCUGGCAUGAACAGCCAGCUACCCACCCUCAAAGGUCAGGCUGGCAUAUGACUGCAAAAUUGUGUGUGUGCAGUGAAGUAAAGGCAUGGAAAACCUGCAUUGACUCAGUAGAAAAAAAAAGUGUGGCAACUUCAGAGGGGACCGUGGAGUUGUGGAGAUGCUGACUUUGGCCUGCAAUUCCGUAGACACUUCAGGAAUGGGAUGUAUAUCUCAUCUCUACCAGCAUUCUGCAGGCAGCAAGGCUGAGAGCAGAGAAAUGAUGAGAAAAAUUCCAUGAAGAAAAUAGAAAAGUAAAACUUGAAGGUUUGCAAGUGCACGCCAGUGCUUUAUUGCUGGCUAGAGAGCUCGAGCCAUCUGAGUCCCUGGAAGAAACCUUUCCCUCUCCUGCUUUGUGGUGCCAGCUUUCCACCCAGCCUGUACAGUAGAGAUGAACAUUUGUUCUGUGACUUGCUUGACACCAGCAAGGAUUCUGUGGUGACAUGGAGGACAUAAGGUGUGCAAGAGCCAGGGUUUUGCCAGGCCUUCAGGUGAAGACUACCUUGUUAUUCUUCAGUUUUCCUAACUCAUUCAUAACUUGAGCCAAUCUAAGGUAAAAUGCAUCAGGUAGCAUAUAUCUGUAAAAAUAAAAACUUGAAAAUACAGUUCAGAAGCGUUUAUAAAAGGCAGAAGU